UAUUAUUAUUAUUUUGGCAGAUUAGUGCUUUAAGUUUAGAAUUUAAUUAUGUGAAAUUACACAAAUAAUAC
rnacentral:tRNA from 1 species